rnacentral:rRNA from 1 species
GGUUACUGCUAUCGGUGUUCGCCUAAGCCAUGCGAGUCAUAUGUUCGUAAGAACAUGGCGUACUGCUCAGUAACACGUGGAUAACCUGCCCUUGGGUCCGGCAUAACCCCGGGAAACUGGGGAUAAUUCCGGAUAACGCACAUAUGCUGGAAUGCUUUAUGCGUAAAAUGGGUUCGUCCGCCCAAGGAUGGGUCUGCGGCCUAUCAGGUAGUAGUGGGUGUAAUGUACCUACUAGCCUACGACGGGUACGGGUUGUGAGAGCAAGAGCCCGGUGAUAGAUUCUGAGACAUGAAUCCAGGCCCUACGGGGCGCAGCAGGCGCGAAAACUUCACAAUGCGGGAAACCGUGAUAAGGGGACGCCGAGUGCCAGCAUCCUAUGCUGGCUGUCCGGGUGUGUAAAAUACACCUGUUAGCAAGGGCCGGGCAAGACCGGUGCCAGCCGCCGCGGUAACACCGGCGGCCCGAGUGGUGAUCGUGAUUAUUGGGUCUAAAGGGUCCGUAGCCGGUUUGGUCAGUCCUCCGGGAAGUCUGACAGCUUAACUGUUAGGCUUUCGGAGGAUACUGCCAGACUUGGAACCGGGAGAGGUAAGAGGUACUACAGGGGUAGGAGUGAAAUCUUGUAAUCCCUGUGGGACCACCUGUGGCGAAGGCGUCUUACCAGAACGGGUUCGACGGUGAGGGACGAAAGCUGGGGGCACGAACCGGAUUAGAUACCCGGGUAGUCCCAGCCGUAAACGAUGCUCGCUAGGUGUCAGGCAUGGCGCGACCGUGUCUGGUGCCGCAGGGAAGCCGUGAAGCGAGCCACCUGGGAAGUACGGCCGCAAGGCUGAAACUUAA